GACGAACGCUGGCGGCGUGCUUAACACAUGCGAGUCGAACGGAAAGGCCCUGCUUUUGUGGGGUGCUCGAGUGGCGAACGGGUGAGUAACACGUGAGUAACCUGCCCUUGACUUUGGAUAACUUCAGGAAACUGGGGCUAAUACCGGAUAGGAGCUCCUGCUGCAUGGUGGGGGUUGGAAAGUUUCGGCGGUUGGGGAUGGACUCGCGGCUUAUCAGCUUGUUGGUGGGGUAGUGGCUUACCAAGGCUUUGACGGGUAGCCGGCCUGAGAGGGUGACCGGCCACAUUGGGACUGAGAUACGGCCCAGACUCCUACGGGAGGCAGCAGUGGGGAAUAUUGCACAAUGGGCGGAAGCCUGAUGCAGCAACGCCGCGUGCGGGAUGACGGCCUUCGGGUUGUAAACCGCUUUCGCCUGUGACGAAGCGUGAGUGACGGUAAUGGGUAAAGAAGCACCGGCUAACUACGUG
rnacentral:rRNA from 1 species